AUACGGAAGAUGCGAGCGUUAUCCGGAUUUAUUGGGUUUAAAGGGAGCGUAGGCGGGCCUUUAAGCCAGCGGUCAAAUGUCAGGGCCCAACCUUGGCAUGCCGUUGGAACUGGGGGACUUGAAUACACACAAGGAAGGUGGAAUUCGUCGUGUAGGGGGGAAAUGCUUAGAUAUGACGAAGAACUCCGAUUGCGAAGGCAGCCUUCUGGGGUGCGAUUGACGCUGAGGCUCGAAAGUGCGGGUAUCGAACAGGAUUAGAUACCCUGGUAGUCCGCACAGUAAACGAUGAAUGCUCGUCAUCGGCGACAGACAGUCGGUGACCAAGGGAAACCAUUAAGCAUUCCACCUGGGGAGUACGCCGGCAACGGUGAAACUUAAAGGAAUUGGCGGGG
rnacentral:rRNA from 1 species